GAUUGUAAACCUUGUGCUUGUAACCAUAAACCUUCAUACGUAUUAAUACAGUGGUAACAAGAUGGAGAUCUUCUUCUGGUACAGUUUGACUUGGACAACAUGAUGCUGUCUGGAUCGAAGGAUAGCCUCGAAGGAUACAACUGAUCCUUCGAGGUGCUCGAAAGAUAUGGUUCGACCAUAGUUCAACCAUUAGACAUCGAAGGAUGAUCCUUCGAUGUCCAUGCUGAUCGUUCGAGCUCCCUGUCAUCGAUAGAUGAUCCUUCG
rnacentral:lncRNA from 1 species